rnacentral:rRNA from 1 species
CUGACUGCUAUCGGAUGAUACUAAGCCAUGCGAGUCUUUGUAGUAAUACAAGGCAUACGGCUCAGUAACACGUAGUCAACCUACCCUAUGGACGAGAAUAAUCUCGGGAAACUGAGCAUAAUUCUUGAUAGAUCAUAAUGCCUGGAAUGGUUUAUGGUUAAAAUGAUUCGUCGCCAUAGGAUGGGACUGCGGCCUAUCAGCUUGUUGGUGAGGUAAUGGCCCACCAAGGCGAUUACAGGUACGGGCUCUGAGAGGAGAAGCCCGGAGAUGGGUACUGAGACACGGACCCAGGCCCUAUGGGGCGCAGCAGGCGAGAAAACUUUGCAAUGUGCGAAAGCACGACAAGGUUAAUCCGAGUGAUUUCUGCUAAAGAAAUCUUUUGCCAGUCGUAAAACCGCUGGUGAAUAAGGGGUGGGCAAGUUCUGGUGUCAGCCGCCGCGGUAAAACCAGCACCUCAAGUGGUCAGGAUGAUUAUUGGGCCUAAAGCAUCCGUAGCCUGCUUUGUAAGUUUUCGGUUAAAUCCAUGUGCUCAACGCAUGGGCUGCCGAAAAUACUGCAUAGCUAGGGAGUGGGAGAGGUAGACGGUACUCAGUAGGUAGGGGUAAAAUCCUUUGAUCUAUUGAUGACCACCUGUGGCGAAGGCGGUCUACCAGAACACGUUCGACGGUGAGGGAUGAAAGCUGGGGGAGCAAACCGGAUUAGAUACCCGGGUAGUCCCAGCUGUAAACGAUGCAGACUCGAUGAUGCAUUGGCAUAAUAGCCAUUGCAGUGUCGCAGGGAAGCCGUUAAGUCUGCCGCCUGGGAAGUACGUACGCAAGUAUGAAACUUAAAGGAAUUGGCGGGGGAGCACCACAAGGGGUGAAGCCUGCGGUUCAAU